rnacentral:rRNA from 1 species
CCUACGGGUGGCAGCAGUGGGGAAUAUUGCACAAUGGGGGAAACCCUGAUGCAGCGACGCCGCGUGAAGGAAGAAGUAUUUCGGUAUGUAAACUUCUAUCAGCAAGGAAGAAAAUGACGGUACCUGUCUAAGAAGCUCCGGCUAACUACGUGCCAGCAGCCGCGGUAAUACGUAGGGGGCAAGCGUUAUCCGGAUUUACUGGGUGUGAAGGGAGCGUAGGCGGCGAUGCAAGUCAGAAGUGAAAGCCCGGGGCUCAACUCCGGGACUGCUUUUGACACUGUAUGGCUAGAGUGCAGGAGAGGAAAGUGGAAUUCCUAGUGUAGCGGUGAAAUGCGUAGAUAUUAGGAGGAACACCAGUGGCGAAGGCGGCUUGCUGGACUGUAAAUGACGCUGAGGCGCGAAAGCGUGGGGAGCAAACAGGAUUAGAUACCCCAGUAGUC